rnacentral:piRNA from 1 species
UCCAACAUCGUUGAAGCUCUCUGGUGACA